CUUAACUAACCCUGUGUAUGUGGAAGAAUGUGCCUUACUAAGCCCCUGCUGUAAAUCAUAGACCUAUGUCAUUGUAGAAGGUAUAUUAGAUUAUGGAAAAUAAACCUCGGGGCCUUGGGCUGUUUGCUCGGGGUCCCCUCUGUGUCGCUAUACUGUCGUCUCUUUUUCUCAGUUCCUUCGCCACCCCAGGUCCCGGACUCUCAGAGGUCGACAAGUGGUGCCCAAACAGGGACCUGAAGCCCCCGUCAAGGAGUGAUCGGCCAGCGAUAGGAACCUUACAGAAGGUGAUGGAUCCAGUCUAGCAAUUUGGAUACCUCUUCAGAAAGUCCGGCCCAGGACUGGCAAUAGAGACAACAGAAGAGGUCUCUCAGCUGCUGCAGGGAUUGACUACCCAACCCCCUGUCUGAGAGAUGGCAACAUUCUCCUUGAAGAGACCUCGAAAACAAAAAUUGUCCCCGACAACACCCCCAACUUGGGGGCAACUGAAGACCUUCACUCAGAGGGUGGAGCGAGUCCUGGAGAUGACCAGAUCUACCAAAAUCCCUGAACAUUUGUUCCUGGCUAUGUUAGCAGUGGUGACAUGUGCCUCUGCGGUAGGUGAAAAACAUGCCUACUUGGGCAUAUGUACCCCAUCCUCCCUUGUUGCAUCUAGUUGAAUGGACAGAAUAUGGACCUACUGUUUUUACAAAUGACUCUACUUAUCUCCCAGCACCUUGGUCCUCUGUACCCCCAUCUAAACCAGAAGAAGAAAGGACUCUUAUGAAUAUCUCUUUAGGAUUUGAAACAUUACCCUUAUGCUUGGGACAGAAAAAAAUAUGUCUUCCCCUUCACUGACAAACUUGGGCCCAUAUCCUUCCCCCGACCAAAUCAUACAGAACCUUGAUGGGAAUAAUGACCACUUUAUCAUUUAAUUUUAGUGAGGUCAACACAACUAGCACACUGGGAAAAUUUGAUGAUCCUGUCUGUACUACAAUCUUCUAUAAACAUUAUGUUUUUGAGCCUAUAUACUGGUCCCACUGCAGGGGACCCCAUGGAAAAAUCCUUAUGUUAAAUAAUAGAAUGGUGGCAGAUUGGGGCCCACAUGGGAAGUUUUUAAAUAACUGUUCUGAGGAUGUGAAUAGCACCAUAUGUGAUUACAUUACUAAUAUUAGGUGGAAUCACACUGACCAUGGUACUUAUACCCAUCAUCAUACUAAAGGGUUAAUGACAUGGCAUGAAGGAGGACUGGCACCUCCUUGGCCUCAUUUGGUAACUGAUAAAGACCAUGUGGGGCCAGAACACUGGGAUCUUUGGAAGCUCCCAGCUGCACUGGCAUCCUUAUAUUUUUAUGCAGGAAAUUUCUCAGGGACAUCUCAGUCUUCGAGUGAUUAUUGGUUUACUUACAAUUCUUUGAUAUCCAUACAAGCCUGUGUUCAUUUACCUUAUCUCAUCGCAAUAGGAGAAAUAGAAGUUAACUAUAUUAUGAGGAACAUUGAUUGUCCCAACUGCCGGUUGUAUACUUGUUUUAAUCAUUACCAUCUCUUUCAACAGCAGUAUGGAUUCCAUCCUUCUUCUCCAGGACCAUAUGGGGGUCUGGAUCCCGGUAAAUCUCACAAUAAGUGGGGAAGAAAACCCUGUUGAAGGUCUCUUGUCAAAAAUGUUGAGAUACUGUGCUCUCAAAAAACGAGUGAGUGCUCAAAACCUCCAUCACAGAGUGCUAUGGCAGUGGCUGUUUUGAAAAAAGAAAGGGGGAGCUGUGGGAAACAGAAUGCCACAAUGACCACUGAAGAAUGUUUGUUCAGACUCCGAGAUCUCUGAGAAAAUUCGAGAUUGCAGGGUUAAAAAUAACCCUAAAGGAUCAGAGUGAAAUGCCCUUGGGAUGUGUGUGGUCUGUUCUAAAGUACAGAGCAGAAGAUGUUUUAUAGAUAGGAAGCCAGCUGUAAACAGCACACUGUGCAUUCCUUUCUUUGUUCUCUUAUCCUGUGUUAAGGUCUGAGUACAAUGGUGUUUACAAUUAAUUGAUCACAGCCAGUUACAAAUUUCUUUACUCCUUCUCCAUUCCCACUGCUUCACUUAACUAACCCUGUGUACGUGGAAGAAUGUGCCUUACUAAGCCCCUGCUAUAAAUCAUUAUAGACCUAUGUCAUUGUAGAAGGUAUAUUAGACUAUGGAAAAUAAACCUCGGGGCCUUGGGCUGUUUGCUCGGGGUCCCCUGU